CAUUCGAGUGGCGACGGGUGAGUAACGCGUGGGUAACCUGCCUUACACAGGGGGAUAACACCUGGAAACAGGUGCUAAUACCGCAUAAGCGCACAGGGCCGCAUGGCCCGGUGUGAAAAACUCCGGUGGUGUAAGAUAGACCCGCGUCUGAUUAGCUUGUUGGCGGGGUAGGGGCCCACCAAGGCGACGAUCAGUAGCCGGCCUGAGAGGGUGGACGGCCACAUUGGGACUGAGACACGGCCCAAACUCCUACGGGAGGCAGCAG
rnacentral:rRNA from 1 species